rnacentral:tRNA from 1 species
GCCGGGGUGGCGGAACUGGUAGACGCAGUGGACUCAAAAUCCACCGGUAGCAAUACCGUGCGAGUUCGACUCUCGCCCUCGGCACCA